rnacentral:misc_RNA from 1 species
GAUGAAGAACGUAGCGAAAUGCGAUACUUGGUGUGAAUUGCAGAAUCCCGUGAACCAUCGAGUCUUUGAACGCAAGUUGCGCCCGAAGCCAUUAGGCCGAGGGCACGCCUGCCUGGGCGUCACACGUCGUUGCCCCCCCCAUCUACUCCUUCGGGAUUGCGGGGGGCGGAUGAUGGCCUCCCGUGCGCCUCGCCGCGCGGUUGGCAUAAAUACCAAGUCCUCGGCGACGCACGCCACGACAAUCGGUGGUUGCGAAACCUCGGUUGCCCGUCGUGUGCGUUCGUCGCGCAUCGAGGGCUCGAAAAAAUGCUCGGCUCCGGCUGGGCUUUCAACGCGACCCCAGGUCAGGCGGGGUUACCCGCUGAAUUUAAGCAUAUCAAUAAGCGGAGGA